UUGCAGGCUGCAACUCGCCUGCAUGAAGUCGGAAUUGCUAGUAAUCGCAGAUCAGCAUGCUGCGGUGAAUACGUUCCCGGGCCUUGUACACACCGCCCGUCACACCAUGGGAGUCGGUAACACCCGAAGUCGGUAGCCUAACCGUAAGGAGGGCGCCGCCGAAGGUGGGAUUGAUGACUGGGGUGAAGUCGUAACAAGGUAAC
rnacentral:rRNA from 1 species